rnacentral:rRNA from 1 species
AGUGAACGCUGGCGGUAGGCCUAACACAUGCAAGUCGAACGGCAGCACAGGAGAGCUUGCUCUCUGGGUGGCGAGUGGCGGACGGGUGAGGAAUACAUCGGAAUCUACUCUGUCGUGGGGGAUAACGUAGGGAAACUUACGCUAAUACCGCAUACGACCUACGGGUGAAAGCAGGGGACUUUCGGGCCUUGCGCGAUUGAAUGAGCCGAUGUCGGAUUAGCUAGUUGGCGGGGUAAAGGCCCACCAAGGCGACGAUCCGUAGCUGGUUUGAGAGGAUGAUCAGCCACACUGGAACUGAGACUCGGUCCAGACGCCUACGGGAGGCAGCAGUGGGGAAUAUUGGACAAUGGGCGCAAGCCUGAUCCAGCCAUACCGCGUGGGUGAAGAAGGCCUUCGGGUUGUAAAGCCCUUUUGUUGGGAAAGAAAUCCAGCUGGCUAAUACCCGGUUGGGAUGACGGUACCCAAAGAAUAAGCACCGGCUAACUUCGUGCCAGCCGCCGCCGUAA